rnacentral:rRNA from 1 species
AUUGAACGCUGGCGGCAGGCUUAACACAUGCAAGUCGAGCGAGCGGCGGACGGGUGAGUAAUGUCUGGGAAACUGCCUGAUGGAGGGGGAUAACUACUGGAAACGGUCGCUAAAACCGCAUACCAUCAGAUGUGCCCAGAUGGGAUUAGCUAGUAGGUGGGGUAAUGGCUCACCUGGGCGAAGAUCCCUAGCUGGUCUGAGAGGAUGACCGGCCACACGGGAACGGGGACAGGGCCCAGACUCCUAGGGGAGGAAGAAGUGGGGAAUAUUGCACAUUGGGCGCAAGCCGGAUGCAGCAAGGCGGCGUGUGGGAAGAAGGCCUUCGGGUUGUAAGGCCCGUUCAGCGAGGAGGCGGUACUCGCAGAGGAAGCACCGGCUAACUCCGUGCCAGCCGCCGCGGUAAUAC